rnacentral:lncRNA from 1 species
AAAGUUCUGCAUUCCUUGUUAGCAUUUAAAGAUUUGGGCAAUUCAAGUAUAGAAUCACUCCUGGUUUGGCUUCUCUGGAAGAUUCCAAGGUGGAGUGGCCCCGUUCUGCAUAGGUGUGGUCCUCAGCUCACUGCCUGCUGUAUUUUCUCACUUGGGUCCUCCAGCUGCACCUGCACCCCUCAUGCUUGUAAUCUGCCCAUCUGGUUCCGGAAGUCACCUGAGUCACUAUCCCCAGUGGAUGUGGCGAACCUGAGCUCCCAUCCCAAACUAAUGCUUAAUUCAUUCUCAACAAUGUGUACUGUGUUCCUUUCCAGCUUUACAGACUGUUCCUUGGGGAAGAAGGUGGAAGCAAAUAAGAGUGGAGAACUUCUGCUUUCUCGCUGUCAUCUGUUCGAAUUGCAUCAUCUGCUCCCAAUCCCUUCCUUUUCCUUCUUGCUCCAAACAUAGCUCGAAAAGCCCUUUUUAUCGUCCUUUGCAUUUUUUUGCAAGCCUCAGCUCUUUCUAGGGUUUUGUCUCCAGCACUCUUCUUACAGAAGCAGUGUCAGUUUGCAUUUGUUUUAGGGCGGGAUGGUGCGUCAUAGAGGAGCACACCUGCAAAAACAACUAAAUUAGAAAUCUAACCACGUCUUCAGGUUCGCAGUGGGAUCUACUACGUCAAGAAAAAAAAAUGUUCACGUAGUUUAGAGAAAAAUCUUAAUAAACAAAUGUUAAGAAAUUUUCAAAAAAAAAAGAAAAAAAGAGAGAGAGCGAGAGAGCCCUAAAGGUUUCAUGUAUUAGUGUAUCUGAUGCCAACCUGGAUGUCAGACGUGCCCACCUAUCCUGGCUUAUAGAAGGCUAAGGAAGGGUUUGACUUGACAAAGAGGAUGUAUGCCAAACUCAGUCCCGAUCAGAGCCUUCUAGCACGCUCCGCUCGCUCCAGUUUCCAUAAUGUGUACGUAGGACCCAGUGAGUAUAUUUGGUGUGGCAGCUGGAUGAUGUUGAUGUUAUCUGCCACACAAGUUUGCCAUAAUUCGUAUAAGACAUGGAGUUUUCAAAUCAAAUUGUCAUUGGGUGUUAAUGAUAUCUACUCCUGCUGUCUUAAAACAGGGCUGGAAGGAAGCCUUUCAGGGUGUCAAGAUAAGUUGGCAUUUAACAAGAGCAGCAAGAGUGAUCUUAUUAAAAUGUAAAUCAGAUCAUAUCAUUACCUUGCUUAAAACCAUCCAGUACCUUCCACCCGCCUGUAGAUUAAAGCUCAACUCCUUUCCGCGGCCCAUGGCCCUAAGGGAGGCAGCUCGGACUUCUUCUCUGUGCCCAUCUCUGGCAACUUCUUCCUUGCUCUUCUCUUUCUAGCCACAAGGACCUUCUCUCUGGUCCUUAAACCAGACAAGCCUGUCCCCACUUCAGGGCUUCGCAUUUGCCAUUCCUUUGCCUCAGAUAGUUUUCUCUCCCAACCUUAAGGGGCGGCACUGAAGAUGCUAAUCAAGUAUAAUACUCCUUCCCUGGAGUGGGUCUUCUCUGAGCACCGUGACUGAAGUAGCCCUACCCUCCAUCACACUCUAUGCCCUUACCCCGAUUUAUGCAGCUUCAUAAUGAUGAAGCCAUACCCUGAACUACAGGUUUCUGUAUUAUGUGCUCAUUAUCUAUCUCCUCCAUAAGAAUGGAAACUUAAUAGAGGCAAGUUACUGGUCUACUGUGUUCACCUCUCUAUCCCUGGGCCCUAAAACAGUGCUUGGGAUUUUGUGGUGCUCAAUAAACAUUUGUCAUAGGUACAAAGGCAAGUAAGCAUGGGUGACCGCAGGAGACAAAUUGUUAGCAUGUCCACAAUGGACAAACUGUGCUUUGUGCUGGGUGUGUAUAUGCACACAGGGGCGUGCAAAUGUGUGUAUGUGUACACAUAUGGACUGGGUUUGUUUGUUUGUUUGUUUUUAGUUUGGGGUCUUGUUUAAGUACUUAAUACAUUUGGAGUUGGUUUUUAUGUAUGGUGUAAGGUAAGAGUCCAGUUUUGUUUAGAAGCAUGUGGACAUCCAGUUUUGCUAGCUCCAUUUACUGAAGAGACUGGCCUUUCUCCAUGUGUGUUCAUAUGUUUGGUAUCCUUGUCAAGGGUCCAUCAAUGCUACUGUGUGUCCUCGCACCCUUGACAAGAGGUGAAUCUGCAGAGGAAAUCAGGGCCACACCAGGUGGGUAAUUGUUAGCUGGCUAAGAUGUUUAGACUUUAAACUCAGAGCAGUAGUGUUGUGGGGGGGUGGUGUGUGCGGUUCUAAGGUCAUAGUACAGUAGUUCAUACCACAGGCUCUGGAGUCAGACUGCUGCCGGUACUUACAUCAUUUCUGCCACUUUGUGACUCGGAGCGAGUUACUCACCCCUUCAGGUUGGAUCUCAGUUUCUCCACCUGAGUAGGGAAAUAAUAAACUUUCCUUCCUCAUAGAGUUGUCAGAGAGAAAUGAACUGUGUGCAGAGUAUUUUCGCAUUGUGCCUGACAUAGAGUAAGGGAUCAGUAAGUGUUAGCCACUGUUAUUGUUAUUAUUGUUACCAUUUUUCCAAAACUGAGAUGAUCCAGAGGGUUUGUGUAGGCAGGAGUUGCAGAUAGAGCUGGCUGGCAGGGGAGUGACAGGGUGAGCACAGAAGCCCAGGUGCUAUCUGGUCACGUAGAACGUAAAGCCUCAGGUAAGUAAGGGGUGACAGGUGCUGUCUCAUGUAAUUGGGCUUCAGCCCUCAGUCUUUGCAUCUUUUAUUAGACAGCUGGAAACACCUACCCCCCCCCAAAAAAAAAGCAUAUUAGGGCUGGGUUUGCUAAAAAGAACUCACAGGUCACCCAGUCCAAAGGGUAAGGGAAGAUAGAACAGUGGACAAAGGAGGAAGGGACUUGCUUACUUAGAGACCCUCUCAUGUUCCUGGACUAUUUUCAGACUAAUCACAUGGACACAAGUGUUCUCUCUCCUUUCCCCAAAUAGUAGUUAUGGUAGAGACCAUUAUACACUAGACAAAUCCUAUGUAGUCCUCUUCCUCCUGAGUGGACUACAUUUCCUAGCAUCCUUUGCAGUCAAACGUGCCAUAUGACCAUGUUCAGGCUAGUGGAAAAAACAAAAGGUGAUAAAGACCCUUUCUGACGUGGCACAUGAGAACCUCCUAUGAAUUCCUCCAUGACCUUUCCCAUCUGCUGGCUGAUGUGACACGAUUCCAAGGACCUGGAUCGGCAUGAUGUCAUGAGAUAGAAGGAGCUUCGGUCCUUGUUUUGCCCAAGAGGGACAGCUGACCAGAAACACCCACUUUGAACUAUCAUGCAAGCAAGAAACACUGAAUUUUGGGGGAUGUUUGUUAUAGCAACUUACCUACUCUAACUAAAUAUACCACCUCUAAGAAAGUAUCGUCUGAGUGCUCUGUCACAUAUAUUCUAUAGCUAUCUAUACGCUGAGAGUGGAUUAAUGGCAUUUAAAAUAGAUGAACAAGACACUCAUCAAUUCUAAUUUUUAUAAGGACUACUAAACUCAUUAGUAUUAUGUCUACUUGAUAAAAAAGGACCAGAAGUUCUUAAAGUUCACAGAUACACAUUAGAAACAGUAUUUUUUGGCACCAAAUUCCAUACACUUUGUACUGUGUGGUUCUAAGUGUGUUAAGUAAAAGGAGUCUAAAGUGAUCCAGAUUAUGGUGAAUUUGGAAUGCUGAAGGAAGAAAAAAAAUGAAGAAAAAAGAUGUUUUUAUGUAUUUAAAAAGAAGUUAUCUGAACAUUGGCACUAAAUUAAAAAGAUGGAAAAUGUGGUUGAGGGAGGGGCACUCACAAUAAAAAUGAAAACUUUGAAAUCCCUUGGGAUAAAGUUAACAAGAAAUAUAAAAGAAAACUUAUUACACGUUUUAAAAGUUUAAAAAUAAGCCUUGGUGAAAUAUUUCCAGGCCCUGGAUAGGGAGAUUCAAAAGACAUCAACACAAUGCCAAAUCCAACUGUACAUUCAGGGGAAUUUCAAGCAAGAUCUUAAAUGAUAGUUUUAAUGACAAGUUGAAUCCAAAGAUCACAUGGAAGAAGUAGUAUGUAGAAGAGCCAAUAAGUUAAAAAUAAAACUAAGUGAUAGAGUAGACCAGUAAUACUUACUCUUUCCCUAUUGGAAUAAGGAUGUGUUCUCUAGAAUAUGGUAAUGUUGCAGGAAUGGGCAAAUAGUGUAACAUAACAGAGGGAAGAGUUCUGGCUUUGGACACAUUAUGUAUGACAGUUUAGUAUAUUAUGAAGAUAGCACUUCAAAUUAGGAAAUAAAAAAAUAGAUUAUUUAAUGUAUAACAUUAGGACAAUUGUCCUUUUUUCUAUGUUUUCUCUAUAGCUUUUGUAGGAAAAAAUACAGGAGCUAUUUUAAAUCCUGGUGGAAGAUUUUUGUAAGCAUAAUGCCUAAUGCUAGGAAAAGUGAAGGUCUAGGUAAGGUCGGUCAUCAAAUACUGUAGAACUUGCAAUUGCCAAAAACAUACAAAGUUUAAAAUAUUAAUGAUAGACUAAAAAAAUAUUUGUUAUGCUUGAUCACCUAAGUGCUAAUAUCUGCCAUAUAUAAAGAUCUACUAUUAGGCAAUCAUCAAAAGAUAGAAAUCCACGUUAAAAUGGACAAAAAAGCACAACGAGCCCUUUUUGGAGGCUAACAUAGAAGAAAGUACAUUUUCAAUGCACACACCCUUUCACCCAGCAGAUACGCUUCCGUGGUUUUAAGGAUACAACCCAUCCAGCGCUGCAAGACACAUGCAUGGGGAUGUGCUUUGCAAUAUUGUUUAAAAGAGUGAGAAUACGCAAGGAUUUAUUGAAAUGAAAAAUAACAGGAAGUGUCUUUUCCUUGUCAAGAUUAAAAUACGUUUGAAGCCUAAAUAGGAGAAGAAGAUGGCAUUGGUGCAGGACUAGACAAUUGAACACAAGACAGCACAGAAAUAGUGUGGGAUCCAUGAUAAAACUCUCCCCGGGAAUGGAAGCCCCACAAGAAUAGUGCUGUUCUUGUUUUGUUUGCUGCCAUGGCCCUACCAGUGAAGCAAUGCCUGGCACAUAGUAGGUGGGAAGCAUUGGGAAAAUAUCUGCCAAAAUGGUAUUGGGAUAUUUUGCAUUAUUUUUUCGUCUAAUCAUAUAUGUACUCCAUCAUGGUUCACCCUUACACCACACAAAACUAUAUUUGAGCCCUAGAUUUGCCUCUAAUUGACUGAUCUGAGUCUCCUAUUCUAAACAUUUGAAGGAAGAAUAAUACUGUAUGGGGUCAUGGAGAGAAUUCAGUCCAAAGCUCAUUAAAUGCUAACUGCUAUUUAAAAUGCUCCACAGGGGAUCCCUGGGUGGCUCAGCGGUUUAGCGCCUGCCUUUGGCCCAGAACCCAAUCCUGGAGUCCUGGGAUCGAGUCCCACGUCGGGCUCCCGGCAUGGAGCUUGCUUCUCCCUCCUCCUGUGUCUCUGCCUCUCUCUCUCUCUCUCUCUCUGUCUAUCAUAAAUAAAUAAAUACAUCUUUAAAAAA